UUUAAUUCGAUGCAACGCGAAAAACCUUACCCACCUUUGACAUGUACGGAAUUCGCCAGAGAUGGCUUAGUGCUCGAAAGAGAACCGUAACACAGGUGCUGCAUGGCUGUCGUCAGCUCGUGUCGUGAGAUGUUGGGUUAAGUCCCGCAACGAGCGCAACCCUUGUCAUUAGUUGCUACAUUCAGUUGGGCACUCUAAUGAGACUGCCGGUGACAAACCGGAGGAAGGUGGGGAUGACGUCAAGUCCUCAUGGCCCUUAUAGGUGGGGCUACACACGUCAUACAAUGGCUGGUACAAAGGGUUGCCAACCCGCGAGGGGGAGCUAAUCCCAUAAAACCAGCCGUAGUCCGGAUCGCAGUCUGCAACUCGACUGCGUGAAGUCGGAAUCGCUAGUAAUCGUGGAUCAGAAUGUCACGGUGAAUACGUUCCCGGGCAGCGCACAAGCGGUGGAGCAUGUGGG
rnacentral:rRNA from 1 species